CCCUAGCAUAGUUGAUUAACGAAAUGAGUAAAUCAAAUAUUGGUGUGCUGUGAACUCUGAAGGAACCCUAGCGAGCGCAGUCAGCACCGCCAUCACACCUUCAGCCACCGUCUACCGUGUCAGCAGUGAGAGAUGGGGACCAAGGCAAAGAAAGCCAUGCACAAGAGUUUGAAAAGGAUCAAUGCUAAACCAUCGCAUUCUCAACCUGCUGCUGAUUUUUUGCCGUUGGAUUGUGGUCCUGGCCGUAAACUUCCUGAACUUAAACCCUGGAAAAUACUUCCC